rnacentral:lncRNA from 1 species
GAACCUAGAGCUUGCUGAAGACUUCUUAGACAAGACAUGAAAAGCAUGAAGAGUGGCCUUCACAAUAACGCCAUAGAUUAACACAACAGAAAUGACAUGGCCUACGACGGCCAUACAGAACUAGACAUCGAGUCAUUUGAAAAGCCCUGAGAACGUUCAGAGUGAAUACGUGAUUAUUUUUAUGCCUUUCUGUACAGUAUAUUUCUUAAUGUGAGGUAAUAAUACUAUCACAUGUUGCUUAAAAAAAUAAAAGGAAGGAAUCUCAAAAUACCCUGACCAAUGACAUUAGUCAUCAGUCCUUACACUGGGACUAAGCCAAUGGCGACACGUGUGGAACUCACCUGUAGCUGUACUGACACAAGCUCGUUUCAGUCGGUGAAAUUCUAGUCACUUUACUUGACAGUGAAUCUUCACACAAUCUUUUGUAAGAUGAAAAAUGAGAUUCCUUCUCAAUGUAGUGCUAUCAUUUAGCUUAGUUUAGCUGUGUGUUUUGUUCUGUUGUGGCUGCAAUUCAACUUCUAGAAAAUCACUGAAGUGUUCGUGAAGCCUAAGAAGAAUCAGAGGGAAGAACUGGGAUUCAUCUGGGAAGGUUGCACAGUUAUACUGUCCUCCUCACCCUCAGGUAAACUAAGGGACGACAAACUGCCACAGGCUCGUCAUGGAAAUCUGAAAGCUGUGUUUGCACUUCUUCUUCUCUUCCAUGUCUCUUCCUCUUUUGUUUAAAUACCC